rnacentral:rRNA from 1 species
GUACACUCCUACGGGAGGCAGCAGUGGGGAAUAUUGGACAAUGGGCGCAAGCCUGAUCCAGCCAUGCCGCGUGAGUGAUGAAGGCCCUAGGGUUGUAAAGCUCUUUCACCGGUGAAGAUAAUGACGGUAACCGGAGAAGAAGCCCCGGCUAACUUCGUGCCAGCAGCCGCGGUAAUACGAAGGGGGCUAGCGUUGUUCGGAUUUACUGGGCGUAAAGCGCACGUAGGCGGACUAUUAAGUCAGGGGUGAAAUCCCGGGGCUCAACCCCGGAACUGCCUUUGAUACUGGUAGUCUUGAGUUCGAGAGAGGUGAGUGGAAUUCCGAGUGCAGAGGUGAAAUUCGUAGAUAUUCGGAGGAACACCAGUGGCGAAGGCGGCUCACUGGCUCGAUACUGACGCUGAGGUGCGAAAGCGUGGGGAGCAAACAGGAUUAGAUACCCCUGUAGUCCCAUGA